UAGGUUGACAACUGUGACUCGCUUGUGCGGGUGCUGGCAGCAUAUAACACUGUUCGAUUGUGCGUCAAGAAUUCCGCAUAGCAGAUUUGUAUGAAGGUCUGGUUAUUAAAUGGAGCUAUGAAAAGCUGUCUACAGAUGAACAGGUCAUGGGGACUCCAAGGGGUGCACUUCUUUGUUUUUGCCUUAGCACAGCUGAUUCAAAUGAUCAACUCAUCAUCAAGCUUCAAGUGAUAUCUUGUAACUGAAGAAGUCUGCAGGAUGUUUCAAGGAUAGUGUCCAACAACGCAGAGCGAGAGGCAAUCUGUGCGGGAGAUCUUCACCUCCUACUUCUUUGAAGAGGGUUCUGUUCCCUAGCAACAUCACAGACUACACUAUGCACAACCAAAGGCUCCUUUAAGAGCCUUCCACAUUGCAAUAAGAGUAUUCUUGAAUUUAUUUAGCUAUGUCAACUGCAGUUAUUCAAUUCCCAGUUCAAAUCAAAUUUUAUUGGUCACAUACACAUGGUUAGCAGAUGUUAAUGCGAGUGUAGCGAAAUGCUUGUGCUUCUAGUUCCGACAGUGCAGUAAUAUCUAACAAGUAAUAACAAUUCACCUGUGACUAUCUAAUACACAUCUAAAGGGGUGAUUGAGAAUAUGUAAAUAGAAGUAUAUGGAUGAGUGAUGGCCGAGCAGCAUAGGCAAUGUGCAGUAGAUGGUAUAAAAUACAGUAGAAACGUGAUACGAGUAAUGUAAGAUAUGUAAAUAUUAUUUAAAGUGUCAUUGUUUAAAGUGACUAGUGAUCCAUUUAUGAAAGUGUCCAGUGAUUAGGUCUCAAUAUAGGCAGCAGCCUCUGAGUUAGUGAUUGCUGUUUAGCAGUCUGAUGGCCUUGAGAUUGAAAAACAUCUCUCGGUCCCAGCUUUGAUGCACCUGUACUGACCUCUCCUUCUGGAUGAUAGCGGUGUGAACAGGCAGUAGCUCCUUGAUGAUUGUUGUUGUCUUUGAUGAUCUUUUUGGCCUUCCUGUGACAUUGGGUGCUAUAGGUGUCAUGGGGGACAGAUAGUUUGCCCCCAGUGAUGCGUUGUGCAGACCGCACCACCCUCUGGAGAGCCUUGCGGUUGAGGGCGGUGCAGUUGCCGUACCAGGCUGUGAUCUGUAAAAGUUUGUCAGGGUUUUGGGUGACAAGCCAAAUUUAUUCAGCCUCCUGAGGUUGAAGACGCGCUGUUGCGCCUACUUCACCACACUGUCUGUGGGUGGACCACCUUCUCCUCAGCUGUCCCUUCGAUGUGGAUAGGGGGGUGCUCCCUCUGCUGUUUCCUGAAGUCCACGAUCAUCUCCUUUGUUUUAUUGACUUUGAGUGAGAGGUUGUUUUCAUGAUACCACACUCCGAGUGCCCUCACCUCCUCCCUGUAGGCUGCCUCUUCGUUGUUGGUGAUCAAGCCCACUAAUGUUGUGUCGUCUGCAAACUUGAUGAUUGGGUUGGAGGCGUGCAUGGCCACGCAGUCGUGGGUGAACAGGGAGUACAGGAGAGGGCUGAGCACGCAGCCUCGUGUGUGCUCCAUUUGAUUUCUAUUUCUCAGGUGAGGGUGCCAUUUAAGUAACGGUGUGAUGUCUAUACAAAAACAAAGCAGGCUAUUUUAAGCCACCCAUAUUGAAAAAAGUUAGAACAAUUAGACACCGAAUAGGCAAGAGGGCCAACCAGGGAGAAUAGUAAGACACUUAAUUAUUUCUAUAACUAUGCUAUAUUGUUUGUCGUCGUGUGUCUGUGCAUGUUUUUCAAUAUAAAGUACUCUGCAGCCACUUAGUGUGGACACCAGGUGAGGCCACACGCAUAGAUUCCUGUUGAACACUGUCUCUUUAACUACCUUAUUUUCUCAUUAACAGUCUCUCUUUCACUUCAUCCCUCUCGCCCCUUUUCCCUAAAUCCUCUAGGUUAUAUCAGCUGUGUCGGUGAACCCCUCCCGCAUCUGAACUGUCUACAUAGAGGGCACAGCAUCAAAGGUAUGUUUUGAUGUGAGAGAGGAUACCAACCCCCAGUCCCGUCAUUGCCACCUCACCCGCUCUUAAGAUAACCUUCGGGCCGACUGGGAGCCCAGGACUGGUUAGGAGACACCACUAGAGACACUAUUAUGUAAUUGUGAUGAACUGAGAUAAUAUUAGGUCUCACUGUGAUUCAUUAAUCAUAAGCUGCCUUCCCUGCUCUUCUUACCUCUUUCCCUUUGUCUUUUACACCUCCCUCACCACCUUUCUUCCUGUUUUUAUAAUGUGCAUUGGAGUACAGAUUGAACUUGUAUUUAUAAUAUUACAAUUAUAAUAUUUAUAUAUUUAUAUUUUGCUACAUAUGACCAAAUCAAGGUGGUCGGUUACAUAUAAACAACAGCCUAAAUGUAGGCUAAUAUUUCUGGGGGGGCAAUGAGGAGACUCGGUUUCUUGCCACCAGGGCCCUUUCCCCCAAGCGUUUCCAUGGCAAUUCCAUUAUUUUGGUCGCGGUUGAUUUUAUGUUUAACGGCUGACUAGUAUAUUCGUCGUUUACUGUUUACACUUGGCUAAGAACUAGCCUACUAUUAAAUACAUAAUCUUUUUUUUUAUAGGUUCCCAUUUCAUGAAAAGCCCAGGCUGCAGCAGUAGGUAGAAAAUGUCAGGUAGAUUCAUUGGAAACCAACACAACACUCUCGUCCCUGUGCCCAUCACUUUGAAUAUGAGUGUUUUCAGCAUGAUGACAAGGGAAAUGUCCACCUCACCCCGACUGCGGUGCCCAUCAUUUUCUCCUUCCCUGAUCGUCAUCAAAAGUGGACACAAUGCCCCAGGGAAAGAUGAAGAAAUACGGUAGAUACAGAGAAUCCCGUAACAGAAUCACCCACCACAACAGGACCAAGCGGCGUGGUGACAGGCAGCGGCAGCAGGAGCAGCGAAGUAUGGACUAUACGACUUGGGGGGAAAUAGACAGAUGGGCGGUCGACCCAGGGAGAGUGCCGGAGCCCGCCUGAGAUUCGCUUGAGCAGUGCGAGGAAGGUUAUAGGAGAAUGGAGUUGGAGAGACGAACACGGCGGUGUGGAUGGAAGCCCGAGAGUCAGCCACAAAACACGAAGCCAGGUAGGAGACCUGCGCCAACUUCCUGUGCUUACCGGGGGGCUAGAGAGACCGGGCAGGCACCGUGUUAUGCUGUAAAGCGCACGGUGUCCCCAGUGCGGGUGCAUAGCCCGGUGCGUUACAUACCAGCUCCGCGUAUCGGCCGGGCUAGAGUGGGCAUCGAGCCAAGUGCCAUGAAGCCGGCUCUACGCAUCUGGUCUCCAGUGCGUCUCCUUGGGCCGGCUUACAUGGCACCAGCCUUGCUCAUGGUGUCCCCGGUUCGGUGUCCCGUAACAUCUGUUGGUUUUGUCUUGAUUGUUUUUACCUGUUGCUUAUUUUGGUUCGUCAAUAGUCUAUUUAAACUUCUAGUGCCCGCCUGCUUUUGUGUGGGCUUAUCCUUACGUUCUGUGGUGAAGUUGUUUUUCGCCUGAGUAUUUUGUUGUAUGUUCUUUUCAUGGGUUUUGGAGACAUACUUGAUUACUUGAUUACUUGACAUACUUGAUUUAUGGUCAUUGCCUGAUUGUUGGCUAGACCAAGCGCAAUAUACGCAUUCAUUUGGAAGUAUUGCUCUCUGCGCCUGACUCUACACCCACCACUCCCAGGAAACCCGUGACACCUAUACAGGUUCUCGUUGGAGAUCUUGUUUGGCUAGAACAUGUUGGAGAUCUUGCGGAGGCAAGCAUUGUGAAAGGCAUCAACCUUGCUCAUCUCACUUUUGACUACCCUCCAUCACUCAGAGCCAUAUAAAAGCAGCGACUUCACAUUGCUAUUAUAGAACCUGUUCUUAGUUUUCAGGCUGUAGACUUUUGUGCUCCAUAUGGGACAUAAUCGACUGAAAGCUCAUCUGGGAGAAGACUGUCCACUGGAUUCCUCAGGAAUGGUCAGAUGUUGUUUGACACAUUACCCAGUCGAUGGUAACGAAAAGUAUUGGCGAGAGGAUGCAGCCUUGUCUGACACCAAACUUAACUUGAAAUGACUCUGUAAGAGGAUUAUCAAGGAUGAUGCUUCAUUCAAAGUGUUCAUAGAACUUCCCAACGGUUAUUAAUCUUGGGUGGUAUUUCGUAGUCUCCAAGGAUACUCCAUAAAUUCUCACAGUGAACACUGUUGAAUGCCUUCUUGAAAUCAAUAAAGUUGAUGUAGAGGGGUGCGUUCCACUCGAGGCACUGCUCGAUUAUGUUGCGCAGGGCAAAGGUCUGGUCGAUGCAUCCUCUUCCUUUGCGGAACCUUGCUUGUUCUUGUCUGAGUUUGUCAUCGACAGCAGUGUCAAUCCUUUUGAGAAGUACUCUUCAGAAGUUUUUUUCUGGGGAUGGAGAGGAGGGUUAUACCUCUCCAGUUGUUACAUUAGCUGAGGUUUCCUUUUUUUGGCAGUUUGAUGACUAGGCCUUUUCUCCAGUCUUGUGGUAUGAUAUCUUGCAAAAGAGAACAGUCAGCACCUUGGUAGCUGUGUUAACAUUAGCUUUAAGUAGCUCAGCCUGCAGAGUGUCAGUACUUGGUGCUUUGCCACUCUUCAUAGCCUUGAUGGCUGCUUGGACCUCUGCUUCAACUGCUGGGCUGGUGUCAAUAGAAUCAAUCUGCUGGAUCAUUUGGCUUUGGCCAGUUGAGGACCCCUUCAAAGUGCUGGAUCCAUCUUGCAGUUUGUUCCUCUUCGGUUGUUAACAUUUGACCUUGUUUGGCUUUGACUGGCAUUGUAUGGUUACUAACUUGGCCACAGAGCUGUCUUGUGAUCUUAUCUACAGUGCUUGGUUCUCUUCUUGCUGCAGCUUGUUCUGUCUCACAAGCCAAUUCCUGGACAAAGGCUCAGAGCCCUUUAACAUUUGACCUUGUUUGGCUUUGACUGGCAUUGUAUGGUUACUAACUUGGCCACAGAGCUGUCUUGUGAUCUUAUCUACAGUGCUUGGUUCUCUUCUUGCUGCAGCUUGUUCUGUCUCACAAGCCAAUUCCUGGACAAAGGCUCACAGCCCUUUGAGCACUCUUUUUUACCUCUUUGUCCUUGGUCUUAUAUUCUUGCUGUGCUGGCUCAAUCAGCCUGGGUGAUUCUGCGCUCAGCAGUUUAGCAAGCCGUCUCUCAUCUAUUUUCUUCCAUGUAGCUUGUGUUAACCACUUCUUGCCCGUCUUCUUUCUAAAGCCAGUAACUUUCUUUGGCAUGUCUGUGUAUGCAUUCUUGAUGUUACUCCAACUGUGCCCUGGUCUUCUUCCUUUGCAUUGGCUAAUGGACUGAAGCGAUUUUUUUGCUAAAUGGUGUUGGGAUUCUAGCUUGAAAUGUACUUAUUGAUGUUACCUUACAAUAACUUAGUGAUUACUUUACAUGUAUAAUAAAUGUGUAUGUUGGUGGUCAAGGAAGGGUAAAGAGGAACUUUUGUGAGAAGUUACUGAGUGAGAAAAGGGUAAGUGCAGAAAGUUCAUACUCUGUUCAAAUAUAUUGUUGUAGAAUAUGAAUGUUCCUAAGGAGGGAGGCAAAGGGAAACAGUAUAGUUAUUGAUAAGGCAGACUAGCUGCUGAGGAACCAGGACCAUGAGGGAUGUGGAACUCAACUCGAGAUAAAGUUAACAGUUGAAGAGAGAAGAUAGUGCUGGAAGGGGGGCCACAGGGGCCCACACUGAAGAACAUCUGAUUCCAGUCCUGUCUCACACAUACUGUAUAUAUACAUUUCCACACCCAUGAGGGUCAUAGACUUAGGCAGGGCCAUGACAAUACGAGUCAGAGGAACCUACUGUGUUUCUGCCUAACAACAGAUAAUGCCUGUCUAUCUUCGACAUGCAAGGAGAGGACUCUGCCUAAUUGGAAGGUAAUAAAGAUCUGCUUGUGUGACUUGUAUGUUGUGUUUGUAGCUGAAGCACCACAUGGGUUGAAUAAACUUGGUUUGAGAUUUUU